GUUGUAGCUCAGCGGUAGAGUGCUUGCCUCGCACCUACGAGACCCUGGUUUCAAUCCUCAGCAUCACA
rnacentral:tRNA from 1 species